rnacentral:lncRNA from 1 species
UGAGACUUCACAAGACACAGAACCCCGAUGACAGCCCGAAGUGGAAACAGCCCUAGGUCUCCGGACUCUAGGGUUUGGAAGACCGAGGGAAGAGGAUGGCCUUGAGAUGGAAGCCAGCUGGGACUGUAUAGUGAGUUCCAAGCCAGCCUGGGGUACAUGUCUCAGAAAGCAGAUACUACAACACCCAAGAAUAAACAGUAGCCUAUGCGUGUAACUGUAA